AUACAAAACCAACGCCCUUCGGGGCUCCUUGGUGAAUCAUAAUAACUUAACGAAUCGCAUGGCCUUGCGCCGGCGAUGGUUCAUUCAAAUUUCUGCCCUAUCAACUUUCGAUGGUAGGAUAGUGGCCUACCAUGGUGG
rnacentral:rRNA from 1 species